rnacentral:rRNA from 1 species
UACGUGGGCAGCAAGCGUUGUUCGGAGUUACUGGGCGUAAAGAGUAUGUAGGCGGUGUUCUAAGUUCGGUGUGAAAUCUCCCGGCUCAACUGGGAGGGUGCGCCGAAGACUGGGAUGCUGGAGUCUCGGAGAGGAACGCGGAAUUCCUGGUGUAGCGGUGAAAUGCGUAGAUAUCAGGAGGAACACCAGUGGUGUAGACGGCGUUCUGGACGAGUACUGACGCUGAGAUACGAAAGCGUGGGGAGCAAACAGG